CCUUGCCCUCUCGGGUCACCAGGAGCCAAAAUGGACUCGAUGGCAGUGAGUUUGGUUUUGGGGUAUUCAUCAGUGUACUCCCCUUUUGUUCCAUGACAUCGGAUGCAAUGCCCUUGAUGUAACAGCACUCAUGCCACGUCCCACGGUCCCGUUUCCAUGUGUCCGUCUCCUGCCCUGAGCUUUGCGCUAGGACAAAGCUGCCUUUGGUUCCGCGGGUUGACUGGGCAGAGGAGUGAAUUCUCCCCGGUGUACCUCUUUCCUUAUAGGCCUCCCCUUAUCAGUUUGCUCUAAACUUGGGGUUGUCCUACGUCAGGGCUCCAUGUGACAUAGAAACUGGCCCAGCUCUGCUUUCUAGUGCCUUACUGCUCUCAUGCAUCUGGCGGGGAGUCAGGGAGAUGAUGGAUUUCUGACGUCAGACCGGGCUGAAGAAUUGGAUGGUUAUACCGCUGAGUUUUCUGCCCUUCACGUUCUUACCUUUCUGUGUUGGGCAAUCCCUCAGAUAGAAUCCGUAGCCAUUACUCCCCUUCUUGAUCUCCACCAGCCGAGGCUGAUGGGGUAGCAGUUUCACACUGGUUGUUUCUCUCCUAACCGCCGUCUUCUGCUCUCUAUAGCGUGUGUCAGUCUCCUUGUCUAGCAGAAGGAACAUAACACGACUUCCUGAUUUCUUCACCUGAAAACACACACGUGCGCUGCGCGUGAGGACCACCACCAAGCUCCAAGCAGGACGCUAUCAAACAGGGAAGUUUCUUGAUAAAAGGCAACGGGGUCUAAAUCCAAGGCCCAAGUAUAAGUCGUGGGGAACCGUGUCCCAGCCACCAAGUGUGAUUCGUCGACCUCCACAGCAUCUACGUUUGUCAAGAUGACCUCACCCUGCAGAUGUCAACCGAACCCAGAUUCACCCUGGCUCCUACCAUUGCUGACUUCUGGCACUUCCAGUGAGGAGGAGGACAGAAGAGGCAGUCAAAAGUAAAAUAGAUAAGCAAGCACUCUUCCGGGGCGUACCUUUUCAACCACUUCCUCGUGGCUGGCAUUUUCUACAUUCUCUCCAUUCACUUCAAUCAAAUGAUCUUCAGGUAGGACCCCAGCUUUCAUAGCCACACCCUGAGGUGUUAUAUCAGUCAUAUAGACCCCCUUUACACCUGAAGAGGGAGGAAGUAGACAAGAAUCACCACUCCGUCACAGACAAACCGGAACCCCAGUGGUAAAGGGUUUUCUCCCUGUAAUUUGACAAUGAACCUCCAGUUUGGGGCUAGACUCUGGCUUCUGGUCUACCAAUGCAAUUAUAGUUCCUAACACAAAUAUAGGCACAGGUAUUAUUCAACUCGUACUUACUGAUUUCAGUAAAUUCUCAUCCUAAGUAAAUGUGAGGAAGUGGCACUGGCCUCUUGGACCAGAAAGCCCCAAAUGAGGCCCUUUUUUUUUUUUUUUUGUAGAAUUAGGAUCUUUUGCAUACUCCCUCUUUAAUUAGCAGCAGUGGCAUCAUAGCCAUUUGCUGGGUCACAAGGUCAGCAGUUUGAAACCACCAGCCGUUCUGCAGAGGAAAGGGAAGGCUUUCUACUCCUGUGGCGUUCCAGCCUGGGGAGUCCAGAGGGGCUCUGCUGUGUCCUGUAAGGGUUGCUGGGCGGCAAAACGGACUCGAUGGCAGCAGGGCCUGCCUCGGUUUUGCGGUGAGUCGUCACCAACAUUCCAUGCCAACAGAGUCCUGCGUUACCCUGGUAGAUGCUCACGAGGGUGGGAGGCCCGGAAGAGGGGCGGGCACAGAGUCCCUCAGCGUCCUAGCUGGGAUGCUAUGUCCAGGGUACUGAAAGGAUUCAUCAUAAAUUCUUUCAAGAUUGUAUCACUUCCCUCUAAGCAAAGGGUAGAUCCAUAAGGACUAGAUCAUUUGUAAGAAAUAGGAGAACUUAAGUUCUGUUUCCUUUUAACGCGUCACCUUUCUCCUGUUACCUUGCUAAACAUUUUUCACGGAGGAAGCAUUUUCUUCAUAGAACUACCCUACACCAUGACGUGGAUGAUCACAGGAGCCACGUGUGUAGGAUCUGCAUGAUGGCAUCGUAAAACCAUCGGACUGAUAGCAAGCUUCGGGGCUCUCCUUGACCCCUCCCCUCUCUUGCUGCAAGUCAAACCAUCCUUGGAGAUGACUUUGUUUCCCACCGGUCUGCUCCUCUCUCACCCCAGAUUCCAGAGUCACCAGGACAGAACUGCAUCAGCGGAGCGACAGGACACAGAAUCUCCAGUACGUUCUGAUGGUCCGGGUUUCUCCCAUCGCUAUGCGCCUCUCAACUAGAGGUCAGGAAGCCCCUCAAACAGAGAUUCGAAAGCAAUAAAGCAGCACCAACCCCCUUACUCUCUGGCCUCCAAGACCGAGCCUGAGAAACGAAGACAGGAAUACCUAGCAUUGCUCCCCUGCUGCCCACUGUCCCCGCCCUCAGCGGCCCUCACAGGGAGCGGACAGGGAGGGUGGUGGCCAACUGCUGGAGGACAGUCAGAGCCACUGAGAAUUUGGUCAAAAAAGGAAAAGUCAUGAGUCAGUGAAACCUUUCUUCUGGGAAGCUGGUUGUCCACCUCCGCUCUCACAACUUACUUGGCACCGUUUUGAGCGAGAAGCCGUAGCUGCUCCCCUCCUUCACCAGGUAGCACAACCGAGGCCGGGCCCAAGGCUCAGCGCCACCAGGGCUCCCUGUGGGAAACAGCUUCUCAUUCAACUCUGGCUUCGGACUUGGACCCAGCUGCUUCAAGUCUAUCUGUGUUUUAACUGCUCUCUCAUAGGCCUUCCCAUCCAGAACGAACAGAUUCACUGAAUUCCCACUCUUUCUGACCCGGUCCACAACCUAGGAGGGAAGCAGAAAAGCAUUACAUUCGCCCAUAAGCUUUGACCAAUGGCCAAACGGAAAUGCAUGCUCACCAUCUGGCUCUAGUUAGGCUGAUGGCUGCCUUAAGAUCCAGAGAGUAUGCAGCGAGUGUCCCAACCACCUCCCUAACCUGCCAGAGGUCUAGGUGCAGCCUGGGCCAGGGCUCUGGCACUGUUGGAAUCUAGAUUGUGCCCCCAACUCCAGUCCUUGUAGGAGAACCCUUGUGAAGAGGAAUCCUGUCCUGGAGAAGAAGUCGUCCAGAGCCCAUGGUGCCACCUGCACGGAAUCAGACAAGAACUCGCCUGUGGAAUAGACAGUUGGGAUCAAGGCUAGACUUUCGCAUUUCGUCACUCCAUGAGCACAUAAACCAAGUGGAGCCUCUGCGAAACGGCAAUUUAACACUAUUCAAAACUAUGCGUAAUCUAAACAGUUCUUAGCUACAUGGUAGUAGAGUUGGUUGACCAGUGGACGGUACAAAGAUAAAGUUGCCCUCCUUUGCCAGCAGAAUCCAGCAAAGAAUCAGGCUCCAAUAGCUCCAGGAACCCUACCCAACAGAGGAGAGAGGGUUGAAGAAGUCCAGGGAAGAGAAUCCAAAUGUCUCAUUCACCUGCAUGUGCUCCUCCUUGUCCACAAAGACACCAUUGAUCCGAAGAACUCUGUCUCCAUCCUGGAGGCCAGCAGCCUCUGCUGGACUACCCUUCUCCACCACUCGGACCAGGUGCCCAUCGGUGUCCUUCUCGAUUCUCAGGAAGAAGCCAUAGCUCUGCCCUUCCUGUUUGGACAGCUUACAUUCUCGGGGGUUGAGGGAGGCCAUUGCUGUGAUGACAAAGAGGUGGGUAAAUCCAGGGGAAAUAAAUCGGAGGAGAAUGAUAA